UUGAAAGGAAGUAAAGGCCAUGGGCUAGCCUGACUUCUUUUACAGGAGAGGAAGAAACUUUACAUCCACGGUGAGAAAAUAAUCUACCUUCCAUGUGCAGAGGAGAGAGAGGGGAGGCUGAAUGCAAGGCAAUUGAAGGAAGAGGAAACAGAGAAAUAGGAGAAGAAAAAGGAAGAAAAUCAGUACUAUUAGAAUAAGAGAAGAAACCAUCUAGUGGAAACACCAUUGCAUCAUAUUUAUAAAUACCUGGUAUCCAAGAGUUGUGGACAACUGACAAAAAGACCCUCAUCAAAAGGUGAUCAAUAUAUAUCCUCAUGACAUACUGUCUCCUCACCAUGGCCCCACUAUUGGGCCAUCUCCACCUCAUCAGAAACUUGGAUUAUACCCUUUCAUUCCCCCCCAGCUCUGUAUCCAGAAGAAGGUUGGACAUAUGGUCCCAGGAACAGACUAGAACAGAUCUUAGGAUCAGCUGAGCAAAGGGGCUUGGCACCAAAGGAUUUGUCUCCACAAAAAAAUCAACAAGCAUUUAGUAGGUUCCUAAUAUGUGCUGGACCAGAUGACUUGAGGUGGAGGAGGAAGGAGAGAAGGCACAACACUUUCAAAACUGUCUACUACUAAAGUAUGAAGAAAUUGUGAGAAGAAACAGCCACAC